rnacentral:rRNA from 1 species
UACGGAGGAUCCGAGCGUUAUCCGGAUUUAUUGGGUUUAAAGGGUGCGCAGGCGGGAGAUUAAGUCGGCGGUGAAAUUUUGCAGCUCAACUGUAAAAGUGCCUUCGAAACUGGUUUCCUUGAGUGUAGAUGAAGUAGGCGGAAUUUGUGGUUUAGCUGUGAAAUGCUUAGAUAUCACGAGGAACUCCGAUUGCGCAGGCAGCUUACUAAACUACUACUGACGCUCAGGCACGAAGGCGUGGGGAUCAAACAGGAUUAGAUACCCGGGUAGUCCCUGA